rnacentral:lncRNA from 1 species
CACCUCGUGGCACUCUCUCAUUGGCUGUGGCACUAAACACUCAACACGUAGUCAUCCAGACAAAUCAAAAACCAAUUCUGUUUUUCCACAUUUAGAAAAGCUCCAAAAUCUUACGGCCGACCAUGAGUUCCAUCAACAGUGACAACAGGAGGAUCGCUCGCCAAGUGUCUCGUCGAACCAUCUACAUGCCGCCACGUAUAGAAAUACUUGUGGUUGUACGCUGCCACGUUACGUUACGUGGUUCACUAGCUUACCCCAUCAACCUCAAUCGCUACUAUAUAUAUUUUAACAAAGCGUUACGUGCCUCUUUAACUCCAAUAUUAUUUUCAUUUCAUUUUUCACCAACUUUGAGACUUUGCUUCUCUUUAUACGAAUCAUUCUUAGAAACCUUUUUUGCUUUUAAUUUAUUUCUACUCUGUCUCUGCCUCUCUCUCUCUCUAAAUAAUGGAAGGAUCAUCGGACGUUGUACGGAAUAUUGAUAGAAAAUCAUCAAUAGAAGCAGAGCCGAGGACUCUGGGUAUUGAUCAAAUUCAAUAUGCAAGGGUGAGUGUACCUUUGUUGUUUCUGUUUUGUGCGGGGUGUUAGGGUUUUGGUGUUCUUGAGGGUUUGAAAAUGAUUGAUUAUUUCUGAUAAUAAUCGUACGGUGAUGAUGCAGGAGGCUGCACUUUAUGUGUUGCGUACGAGGAGCGUAGAAGAAGCCAUGAAUGUUUUCAUGGAGGUGAGGGUUCAAUUACUUUGCCACGUACAAUCGUAAUACCACCUUGUGUGUGUAUAUGUACGAGCAAAAUUUUUUCAUUUCGAGAAGAGAAUCAAUAAUUCAGCCACAAAAAAAGAAAAAAGAAAGAAGAGAUAGAAUAUUGAUAAAAAUAGUGUACAAGUCCAGCAGGGUGUAUGCCAAUUUUUAUCGGUGUGUUUUGAGCUCUCUUUAUCCUUUUUGCAUGGGGUAAAAAAAAAAAGUAUUAUCAGACAGCUAAGAGCACUUAGAGCUGCGUAUGUUAAUAAUUUCUCAUGUAAUUAAAACUGCAAUUUUUGCAGGCACGUGGUAUUGUUGCUUUAGAAUACGUUAAAGUAGCUUCAGUGAGUGAUUAUAUUUGUUGAGAUGGUACAUGAUGGACUGAUGGUUCCUUUUGCAUGCAUGCAAAUCUUUGGGUUGACGAAUGAUAAAAAUUUGUUUGUUAAGUUAAUAUGCAUUAUGCCACCAGUGCGUAUUGUUUAAUUCUAGCUUUUCUUGCAAAUUGAAAUAGUUGUUAAACGACGAACUGAUGGUGAUAAUGAAUAGUUGGGAUUUGAUUAAUUGCAGGGAUCAGAAAGAGUGGAGAAUGUUUCCAAGGAAAGUGACAGAACGAUCGACUGCCAAGAAGAGCUUCAACGUUUAGAAGAUGGACUUCGACCACCGCCAGCAUUACGGGAUGUGGCGACAGCACCUUUCUAGUCUUCAUCUAAUUAAAAGUUUCGAUGAUAACAGUAUUGAAUAAUUGUUUUUUGCAAAACAAUAAUAUCAACUGGAAUUUCACAUUCCAAAAAGAGUUAUAGAUGAGAUACAAGUCGAAAACAAUCACAAGAAGAAGCAAGCAACAUUAUAAACAUAAGUCACAUAGAAAUAUCAUAUGGACUUAGCUUCAAAUUUAAGAAAUUAUUAAUUUAUAUAAUAAGUGGAACCUAUAGAAAAAUAGAAUUUUAUAAAAAAAUUAUUAUCUUCUAGAUUUAUCAAAUUAUUAAUUUACCAUGUUUGCCUCAAAUCAGGACUAACAAAAAUUAUUAUUUAAUCAAAAUUAUCAGUUUAUUGAGUAUCAACAUAUGGAGGUUCUAUUGUAUUUAACAAAGAUAGCAAAAAUGCUCCACAUGUUUGGGUCCUACAGGGCCCCAUCCCAAAUGGGUGAACUUUAAAUAAUUAUUGGGAAACAGAAAAAAAUAAUUCCAAAAUUCUUAGUAGAGUGGGAUUUGGUUUUGUACCUCCCAUCAUAUCCCACUCCAAUCUCUAUUAGAGCAUCUCCAAAAAACUCUAUUAAUUUUAUUCUUUAAAUGUUUGUUUGUUUACUUAUGUGCAAAAAAAGAGAGUGAAAAAUUAUGUUAUUUUCCCAAAUGCUCUUCAAAUAAAAAUAAGUUAAUAUUAUUUUAAUCAAAUAAAUAUUUUCUCAAAGAAAAAUUAAAUAGUAAUUGAAGCACUUCUCUCUCUAUCUCUACAAUAAAAAAUAAUAAAAUAUAAAUUGAAGAGGGAGAAAGUAACUCUAUAAAUUUGAAUAGAGAGAAUCAUUCUUAUUUGAAAAAUCUUAAUUGGAGAGUCUUUUGGAGUCUUAAAUGCUAAUGUUACUCUUCAAAUAAGUAAUAAAAUCUUAUUUAAAGAAACUUUUGGAGAUACUCUUAUAUAUAAAUUUUUUUUUCAAGUAUAAUGUUGGUUGACAAAUUUUCUUUUUAUUUUACCUAAUAUAAAUAGGCUAUAACUAAAAGAAAACCUUAUAAUAUAAUUCUUAUUCAAUCUUAAUACAUUGUUAUGUUUUCUUUUCUCUUUUAAAUAUUACUUUCAAACAUUUUUCAACUUUGAUAUCAUUUCAAGAUACUGUUUCAAACUUUUGGAGAUUAUUUUAAAUAAUUUAAGUACUUUAUAAUAUGAUAAUGAUUUUAUUUAAGUCUUUAAUUUUUAAUUUACUAGAAUUAUGUAUUCAUACGUACUAUAAACUAAAUAAAAUAGAAAUUGAGUGAGGAUGAAUAAAUUAUUCUGCACAAAGGGAUUCAUCAUUCCCACAAUACUAAAUUUAUUGAGGAAUAAGGUAGAAAAUAAAAUUGAAGUUUUUAAUGGAGUAGGGAAUGAAGCAGAUCUCUCCACCUGCACCCCACUCCAUUGUUAUCUCCAGUAUUUAAGAGUAACGAUAAUAAGAAAUACAAUUAAAUCUAUUUUUUUAAAAAUUAAUUACCUAAUUGACAACUUUAUUCAUUUAUAUCCUUGAUUCCUUUGCAUUCAAUGCGAUCAUAGAAUCUUCAUCGGACGAACCAUCAAGAAUUUCACGGACACAAAAUACCCUACACAUGCUGGCUAGGAUAUUAUGAUAAUGGGAUAAUAGCUAACGGCUUCCUCAUUCUUUAAAAAUUCCCAAUAUAAGCCAUAAUUUGAUCAUUUGUAUCAAAUAAAUUCCUUAUUCCAUUACAUUGACUAGUUGACUACAAAAUACUCAAAGUAUUAAAGUAUGUCGUGACCAGCAGAACAUAACAAAAAUAUAAUAUAUGUAAAUUAAGUAUAGGUCUAACUUUUUAAUCAUAAUUUAAUAUUUUAGUUUCAAGCAAUUAGGUGAUAUUUAUCUGUAAAAUAGUUAAUUUUUACUUCUAAAAUUACGUAUUAUCUCAUCUCAUUAUUUAAUGCAGAAAUAUUAUCUCAUGUAGGAUGAAAAAGAUUAAAAAUUACUUGAGUAAUGUAGAAUAAUCCAUAAUAUAUAUGUAACACGAGUAAUUUUCUAUGUAGUCAAUUCAAGGACUUAUUUAAUUAAAUUAGGUACAUAUAUAUCUUUUCUUAACAAUCAUAAAAUGGUAGGGAUCUUGUUGUUAUUAACGAAUUAAAAAUUUUAUGAUUAUAAUCCUCGUACACUCACAUGUACCAACUCCAAAAGUGAUACUAAUAUUGAAUGACAUUUUGUAGCAAAACAAUAAUACCAACUGGAAUUUCAUGUUAUAAAAAGUGUAAUAGAUGAGAUCCAAGUUUGAAAUCAAUAUCAAGAAGAAGCAAGUAACAUUAGGACUUGUUUACUAUGGCUUAUAUAAUUGCUGUAAGUGCUUAAUUAAUUCCAUAAGUUCUUUUGAAAUUUUUUAUUUGUUGUUUUGUUAUAUUUUAAGAAGAACUUUUAAAAAUUAAAUAAGUUAUUUCACCUUUACUAGUAAAAGUUCAAAUUUUGAACUUUUGAGAGUAGGGGUUUAAAAGUUCUUUUAAAAUGUUAAACUACUUAAAAAAUCAUUUACUCAUUUAACAAUCUUAUUUCAUUAUUUUCAAAACACAAUUUCAAAGAACUCGCUUAUUAAAAUAAUUUUAUAAUUUUUAAUAAAAAUUCUCAUUGACAACCAAGCAAAUAAAUUUUUUUAGUGAAAACUUUAUUAGCAACAGCUCUAUUUAAAUAAAUUCUAUUUGAAAAGUCAUACCAAAUAGAUCCUAGAAACAUAAGGCACAUAGACGUAUCAUAUGGAUUUAGUUUCAAAGUUAGGUAAUUAUUAAUUUAUAUAACAAAUGGAACCUAUAGGAAAAUAGAAAUUUCUAAAAAAAUUUAUUAUCUUAUAAAUUUAUCAAAUUAUUAAUCUACAACAUUGGCCUCAAAUUGAGACCGACAAAAAUGAUUAUUUAAUCAAAGUUAUCAAUUUAUUGAACAUCAAUAUAUGAAGGUUCUAUUGUAUUUAAGAGUAACCAUAAUAAGAAAUACGAUUAGAUCUAUUUUUCAAAAAUUAAUGACCUAAUUUACAACUUCAUUCAUUUAUAUCCUUUGUUCUUUUGCAUUCAAAGCCACCGUAGAUUUUGCAUUCAAAGCCAUCGUAGAAUCUUCAUGGGAGGAACCAUCAAGAAUUUCACGGACACAAAAUACCCUACACAGGUUGGCUAUGAUAUUGUGAUAAUGGGAUAAUAGCAACCGGCUUCCUAGUUCUUUAAAAAAUUCCCAAUAUACGAUCAUAAUUUGAUCUUUUGUUACCAAAUAAGUUCCUAAGAUCAUCAUUUGAUCAUUUGUAUCAAAUAAAUUCCCAAUUUUUAUUAAAAUGACUAUAAAAUACUCAAAGUAUUAAAGAAUGUUUUGAUCAGCAAAACAUAACAAAAAGAUAAUAUAUGCAACUUAAGUAUAAAUUUAACUUUUCAAUCAUAUUUUAAUAUUUUCAUUCCAAUUAGUGGGGAGACAUUUAUCGGAAAAAUCAAUAAUUUUACUUCUAAAAUUAUAUAUUAUCUCAUCUCAUUGUUUAAUAGAGAAUUAUACCUCACUAGGAUGGAAAAGAUUUAAAUAUUACUUGAGAAAUGCAGAAUAAUUCCUAACGUAGUAACACAAGUAAUUUUCUAAGUAUUCAAUUCAGGGACCUAUUAAUAAAAUUAGGUACAUAUAUAUCUUGUCUUAAGAAUCAUAAAACAAUAGGGAUCUUUUGUUAUUAAAGCAUUAAGAAUUUUAUGAUUAUAUUCCUCGUAGACUCACGUGUACCAACUCCCACACCUCAUCGUACAUCUCAUCGACAUAAAUCCAACGGUUAAUAUCAACCGCCGACCCCACCAUCCCGACAAACCAACGAAACCCACAUCAUCAACAACCACGUUUCCCCACCAAAAUCAAUGUCGUACGAUCUUAUAAUCAGAUCCUACACCUCGUGGCACUCUCUCAUUGGCUGUGGCACUAAACACUCAACACGUAGUCAUCCAGACAAAUCAAAAACCAAUUCUGAUUUUCCACAUUUAGAAAAGCUCCAAAAUCUUACGGCUGACCAUGAGUUCCAUCAACAGUGACAACAGGAGGAUCGCUCGCCAAGUGUCUCGUCGUACCAUCUACAUGCCGCCGCGUAUAGAAAUACUUGUGGUUGUACGCUGCUACGUUACCUUACGUGGUUCACUGGCUUACCCCAUCAACCUCAAUCGCUACUAUAUAUAUUUUAACAAAGCGUUACGUGCCUCUUUAACUCCAAAUAUUAUUUUCAUUUCAUUUUUCACCAACUUUGAGACUUUUGCUUCUCUUUAUACGAAUCAUUCUUAGAAACCUUUUUUGCUUUUAUUUUAUUUCUACUCUGUCUCUGCCUCUCUCUCUCUAAAUAAUGGAAGGAUCAUCGGACGUUGUACGGAAUAUUGAUAGAAAAUCAUCAAUAGAAGCAGAGCCGAGGACUCUGGGUAUUGAUCAAAUUCAAUAUGCAAGGGUGAGUGUACCUUUGUUGUUUCUGUUUUGUGCGGGGUGUUAGGGUUUUGGUGUUCUUGAGGGUUUGAAAAUGAUUGAUUAUUUCUGAUGAUAAUCGUACGGUGAUGAUGCAGGAGGCUGCACUUUAUGUGUUGCGUACGAGGAGCAUAGAAGAAGCCAUGAAUGUUUUCAUGGAGGUGAGGGUUCAAUUACUUUGCCACGUACAAUCGUAAUACCACCUUGUGUGUGUAUAUGUACAAGCAAAAUUUUUUCAUUUCGAGAAGAGAAUCAAUAAUUCAGCCACAAAAAAAGAAAAAAGAAAGAAGAGAUAGAAUAUUGAUAAAAAUAGUGUACAAGUCCAGCAGGGUGUAUGCCAAUUUUAAUCGGUGUGUUUUGAGCUCUCUUUAUCCUUUUUGCAUGGGGUAAAAAAAAAAAGUAUUAUCAGACAGCUAAGAGCACUUAGAGCUGCGUAUGUUAAUAAUUUCUCAUGUAAUUAAAACUGCAAUUUUUGCAGGCACGUGGUAUUGUUGCUUUAGAAUACGUUAAAGUAGCUUCAGUGAGUGAUUAUAUUUGUUGAGAUGGUACAUGAUGGACUGAUAGUUUCUUUUUGCAUGCAUGCAAAUCCUUGGAUUGAUGAAUGAUUAAAAUUUGUAUGUUAAGCUAAUAUGCAUUAUGCCACCUGUGCGUGUUGUUUAAUUCUAGCUUUUCUUGCAAAUUGAAAUAGUUGUUAAAUGAACUGAUGGUGAUAAUGAAUAGUUGGGAUUUGAUUAAUUGCAGGGAUCAGAAAGAGUGGAGAAUGUUUCCAUGGAAAGUGACAGAACGAUCGACUGCCAAGAAGAGCUUCAACGUUUAGAAGAUGGACUUCGACCGCCGCCGGCAUUACGGGAUGUGGUGACAGCACCUUUCUAGCCUUCAUCUGCUUAAAUUUGUUUCAAAAAUGGAAAAGCCCUUUAACCUUCACGGCGAUCAUCAUCGUGUAGUAUAAUACUAUUUAGCUAUUAGCUUUUAGCAACAUCUGUGCA